rnacentral:lncRNA from 1 species
CUGGUCCAGGUGGGAUCAUCUGGCUGCUGAAGCAGGAACCGUGCAGAUGCCUUUCAGUCCGAGACACACCUGCAACCGUGCAGGUUUCCGAGUGUUGCAAACAUGAGAAUAGGGCUGUGAGGUUGUGAAGGGUGAUAGUGACCUGGGUUUGGUGACAGAAGGGAAAGACACUCUUAUGCAUGAGUGUUUUUGGUGGUGAUGGGGUAUAUUUUUAUAAUUUAGUCAAAAAAAAAAAAAAAAGUAUGUGGAAUUCUGUCCCUUGGUAAAGCUUGAAACCAGGCCAGCAAGAGGUGCCCUGGGUUCUUCCUGCUCCCCCUUCAAGCUCCCUGAUUAAAAGCUAAUGCAGGGUGUUUCUGUGCUGACGCCUCACUUCCCACCCUGUGCAUCUUCAGGUCCUCCCCGAGGGGGGAGGGGCUUCUGAGAUGGGGGUAGGGGGAGGCUCAGCCCAGCAGCCUCUUCCCUUCCCUUCUUAAUCAGAGCUCUUGCUGGGUCUCGCCUUUAGAAAAGCUGUUUUAAUUUCCCCCUCAGUUUGGACCGUGUAGAUAUAACUGGAUAUAAAGAUUUUCUCUAAGUAAGGCAGGCUUCUUAUGUCACUGGUGCACAGGGCAGAAAAGGAAGAGAGAAGAACUUGAUGCAACGAUUUAAAAACUGAGGUCUUUUUUUCUUUUUUUUUUUUUUCCUUUAAUGUUCUGGUGCGGCUUUCCCCAUCAGUAUUUGCUCCUGCCUCCUUUCUGGUGGUGGCGGCCUCCUCUGGCCGCCCUCCUCCCUCUGCCCCAUCUGUGGCUAUUGUGUUGGUUCUUGACGUGUGGUCUGUCCUGGGGUUGUCCCAUUCGUCUCUUCUCGGGGGUGGGGGUGGGGGUUUGUGAACUGAUCCCGCGAUCACGCCUGUUUUCUUCAUCUCUGUAUCUCUCCCUCCUUCCCGGCCCACCCGGGCGGCAGAAUCUGAUAGGAGGUAAGAGGCCGCAGGUGCGCACUGGAAACUAACAGGACGGAUUGGCAAAAGCAGGUGUCUUGGGAAACUAUUCCAGGGACGUUUCCCUUAUUCAGAAUAUUUCUGGAAGUACCUUUGGAGUCUGUGGUGCCUGCUCUGAACAGCCUUAAUGAUACCAAAUCUGCACCCGUGCUCGCGCAUUCAGUGCAGAGAGAGACCGGCGAAUAGUAGCUGUGGGCAAAUGAGGUCACAGGUGCAAAGCAUAAGGACCAACGUGCUAGUAAAAUGGCUUGGAUUUAAUGAUCUGACUUCUAAGCCGGCUGCGAAAGCAAUUGUGUAAUUUCAGAAUGCAUUCUGAGCGACGUCCUCAUUGUUGCAGUCGGCCCGCGUUGUUGCAGUCGGCACGCGCGGCUGGACUUCUUGGAGGACAUAAUGAAUUUGGUUGUGGAAACUCCGAUUUGUUUGAAGAAAUCUGUCCUGUUACUUUCUGGUCCUCCCAGGUUCUGACUUUACCAGGGGCAAAUAAAAAAAAAAAAAGAAGGGGGAGACAAAUCCCAUCUGUGAACUUGUCUUCUUGGCGCCUUUUCCCCCAGCUGUCUUCCAAGUAUUAUUUUUACUGUCAAAAAAUUUUUUUAAAAAUGUGAAAUGUAAUGUUUUUACAGCAACAAUAUGAAAUAUAUUUUAUAAGGAAUAAAAUGGUACAUUGUCU